AUGGCAACCUUCGACGCGGCCGUCUCCGGCCCGGACGCGGUGCCCGACCUCCGCCUCGCCGCGCACCAGUACAAUCAGCUCCUCCACCUGCUGGCCUCCGUGGACGGCACCGUCUUCCCCGUCCACCCGGCCGCCGCCGCCGCGCGGCGCGUGUUCGCCGGCAUGCUGGAGGCCAGGGCGCCCCCGUCUGAGGCCACCAUCACCUCGCUCACCUGCGUCGUCGCUGCAGACGCCGAGGGCGCCUACGAAGCCUUCAGGCUCGUCUCCUCCAUGCGGCAGAAGUACGGCAUCGUGCCGCGCCUCCGGACGCUGGCCCUAUCCCACGCCGCUGGAGGCCCUCGCGGCCGCUGGGAGCCGGGGCGCGUUCCUCCACAAAACCUUGAUCUGGAGCUUCGACGACGCAGGCCUCCAUGUUGGGCCGAGGAGGAGAAGAAGGGGAAGAAGGGGGGCACAUCGGAGGUGCCGGUCGAGCGUGCUAUCGAGGACGUUGAUGACGGCAGCAUGGGCGAGGCCGGGGAGGAGAUCAUGGUUGAUGCUUUACCGCCUGAAGUUGUUGACCUGGAACAAGAGGGUAAGGUGGAUGUGAGAACGGAAGCGCACGCCGUGGUGCAGGAUGUCGUGGUGUCCGAAGCACAUGAGGUGCCGGAACCAGAGGUGAAGAGUGAGGAGGUGGUGGUCCGAGACACAACCAAGGUGCAUCCUGCGCAUCAACCAGAGACGAAGGCCGAUGAGGUGCUGGUCAGGGAUACGGACACGGCUGUUGUGGUGCAGGAAAUGGAAGCAAAGGGUGAGGUGUCACGGUCUCGUGAGGCAGCUGGUGCGCAGACUACAGAGUAUGAUGAUUGCAUUAAGGAUUGUGAUACGGUUGUUGAGAGGGGAAGAGAACUUCAUGCUAACUGUGCUGACUUCAAGAUGGUCUCAAGGGCACUGGCAAGGAAAGCAACUGCUCUUGUCAAACUUGCCAAGUCUUCCAAAGACUACGAUGUUGCCAUUGAUUCCAGAAGGCUCUAA
rnacentral:rRNA from 1 species